rnacentral:lncRNA from 1 species
UUAUGAUUAAGCAAGGUAAUAACUGAAAAGCCUCCUAAUUGUAUAAAUUAUCUAACUUUUACACAGACGAGCGCCACCAAAUCAGUAUUAUGGUGCAUGUUAAGCACAAGUACAAUCCAAAAUCACAAGUAAAAAAGGCCUUUCAAUUCAAAAAGGAUAAAAAAGAUUGUCGAAUAAAGCAUCAUCCAAUCAAUACCCAAGUUUCAUUGCUUUGAUGAAGUUGAUGGUCCAGACCCUGGGGGUGGAGGUCCAGACCCUGUGAGUGGAGGUCCGGACCCUGGAGGUGGAGGUCCAGAACUUGAAGAACCUGCAGCGGCAGUCCUGGGUAGUGGCAUAGAAUGCUGAUGCUGCUGGGUAGCUUGUGUAGCUGGUGGCAGCGGAGCU